UGGGGAAUUUUGGACAAUGGGCGCAAGCCUGAUCCAGCCAUACCGCGUGCAGGAUGAAGGCCUUCGGGUUGUAAACUGCUUUUGUACGGAACGAAAAAGCUCUAUUUAAUACAGGGGGU
rnacentral:rRNA from 1 species